CAGUGAGUGCUCACAUUACAUUGUGCCCCUUGCGGCUGGUGCUGGUCUGCUGCUGCUGGUGGUGUCUCUGAGCCUCGUCUGGACCCUCUGCCCUUCUACUCUAGGAUUCCAGCCCAGGAUCUCAGCAUCUCCAUCUUCAGAGGAGCACCAGGGUGGGAUCUUAUACGCUCAUCUGGAUUUUGAUUCGCGGAAUCGCAACAGGCAGAAGAUGCAGCGACCGGCCAGAGGGAAACAUGUAAAACCCUGAACUGUCUAGUGCAGGGGAAUCCACAAGCAGGAACUGAUGAUUGGUUCUCUGCUGAUUGGAAGUAGACAGAGCCUCCUUCCAGCUGGCUGUCUCAGUCUAUUUUGUUUUUUAUUUUCUCCACUUCUGUUUAAAAAAUAAAGGUCAGAAGAUCCCCAAAGAGAAUCUCCUUUUGGGUUAUAAAGGCAUCAUGGUGUAGAUGACUUUACACAUCACUUGUGUAUUAGAUUGGAAGCUCUUUGGGGCAGGGACUGUCUUUGUACUGUGUUUGUGCAGCGCUGAGCACCAGGGGGCCUGAUCCAUAACUGGGGCUCCUGCGUGCUAUGGUAACACAAUCAUCAUCCUCCCGCCAUGUGCAGAGGGACCCGGACACAGCUGAACAACUAUAACUUUCCUGCAUAGAGUGAGGCUGGACGGCAGGAGGCUGCAGAGGGGACAUGCAGCCCCUGUAUACGCCACAGCUCCCAGCUCCCCUGAUCUUCAGCAGGUUCAUGCUCACGUUACAUGGACGUGCAAUGGGAUUCUGAAGGGGAAGGAUGGAUGCAGGAGAAGCUCUGAGGGAUGAGAAUCUCUCCCCAGACCAGUGCGGGAGCUGCUAAUACAAUGUCCAUUCUAGAGACUGCUGCUUUUCCCCACGGGCGAGAUCCACAGGGCCCCAUGUGCAUCUCCCCUCUGCACC